GACGAGGUGGCCGAGAGGUUAAGGCGAUGGACUGCUAAUCCAUUGUGCUUCUCAUGCGUGGGUUCGAAUCCCAUCCUCGUCG
rnacentral:tRNA from 1 species